CUUCUCAAAGCGCAGUUGACCAGCCCCGCCGCUUAUUAUCCCCUCAGUCCUGCGGCUCACAUUCACCUCUCUCUCAACGCCGGUCGCCGCCUAGAUGUGUCACCUGACUUGCCACCGUCCUCCACUCUCGUCUCAGAUUUGACCCCAAAGUCAAGCGGUAGGCAGCAGCAGCAGGUUCCCGUGUCGCCAUGAGCUGGAUGGGGAAGCGGGGGUUGGGUGGGGAGAGCCCGCACUGGCGGAGAAGACGGACGAGGACUGGCGGCCUCGGAGCUACUGGCGGCCCCGGAGGUACCUCGCCGCCGCGUCCAGUUCGACCCUGCCUCCUGCAAGCAUGGCGACUUCUUCGACACCGUCUGAGCGGGCCACGACCUAACCACGCCCAAUCUCUUCAGGAUGACCCGCUUGCAUCAUAGGCGUGUCUCAAUGGCUAGGUCGAACAGGUCUUCUUCUAGUGCCUCCGUAGGAAACAAUGGAUCAACUCAGUCAACUGUACAGGCUAAAAAGCCUAGAACACCAAGAACUAGGACUUCAGCCGGUCUCAGACUAGAGGAAAUUGACCGACCGCUUAUAGUUCCCAUUGGCAUGGCAUGGGAAAGGCACCCAUACAGCGCUCGUGAUCCAUCAACGGUGUUAGGUGCCUUAGUGCGCCAGAUGUAUCCACCGCCAAUUGGUCCAAAAAAUGAUCAGAAACCGGUAUUGUGUUGGGAGGACUACAAGUGGUCCCCUGGUCCAGAA